CCCAAAAUAGACUUGCCCAGAUUUGGUGAAACAGAAAGCAUGCACUGACAUCCCAAUGUAAUAGGAACAGCUUCUAUUCUAGUUAGAUGGAGUGAUGAACAUGGGAGCUGCGCUGGUGGUAAAGGAGAGAAAAUUGAGUUCCUAAAUUGUACAAACAAACUUUCUGCUGGCAGAUGGCUGUUCGAUGUCAGAUUCCAUUGGGAGAGUUGUUAGCAUUGAUAAGAAGUUGCUGACUUCAGAUAUCUUUGUUUGUGAUUUAUCAUCUUAAGGAGAGAAGAUACUAGAGGAGAGAGG